CGGCAAAACCGUGGUUGAUAUUGCAACUGACAUCGCUGUAAUUACAUUUAAUUGUGGUUUUCAAGGACUAUUAGAUGUUAUGAGCACAUUUCAAUUGAAGAUUAAUAUACAAUUAUACAACUUUGUCAUGGAAGUCGAUCGACGUCGAGUUACAGCCGCCAACCGCUCAGCAUCGAAUAAUCUAAAAAACACUCGAAAAGACCUUGCAUCAUUAAGAAAAGAGGCUCAAGAGCAAAAUGAAUGCUUGGAAGGGCAGUUAUACGGUGCUGGGAUAGCAGAAUAAAGGUGGCGUACGAGUGCUGAAACCGACUACGCCGUUUACCGCUUCAGAAAAAACAUACUUUCCAAUAAUAUAGUGCCAUGGCGCCAUUUUGUAUUAUAAAUUAAAAUAAAAAAUAUUUUUGUACACCUUAAUACAUGUGUAAUUAAGCCAUAAAAUUUCAUUUUAAUCCAUUCGUUAGUAAUCGAGAAAACAAUUCCCAAAAAAA
rnacentral:lncRNA from 13 species